GGAAUAUUGGGCAAUGGGCGAAAGCCUGACCCAGCGACGCCGCGUGGGUGACGAAGGCCUUCGGGUCGUAAAACCCUUUUGGCAGGGACGAGUGAGGACGGUACCUGUCGAAUAAGUCUCGGCUAACUACGUGCCAGCAGCCGCGGUAAAACGUAGGAGGCGAGCGUUAUCCGGAUUUACUGGGCGUAAAGCGCGCGUAGGCGGUUGGGUAAGUCUGACGUGAAAGCCCCUGGCUCAACUGGGGGAGGCCGUUGGAUACUGCCCGGCUUGAGGGUGAUAGAGGAGAGUGGAAUUCCCGGUGUAGCGGUGGAAUGCGUAGAGAUCGGGAGGAACACCAGUGGCGAAAGCGACUCUCUGGCUCACUCCUGACGCUGAGUGCGCGAAAGCGUGGGGAGCAAACGGGAUUAGA
rnacentral:rRNA from 1 species